rnacentral:rRNA from 1 species
CAGCCGCCGCGGUAAUGCGUAGGGUGCAAGCGUUAAUCGGAGUUACUGGGCGUAAAGCGUGCGCAGGCGGUCCGUUAAGACAGAUGUGAAAUCCCCGGGCUCAACCUGGGAACUGCAUCUUAUACUGCGUAGCUGGAGUGCAGUAGAGGGUAGUGGAAUUUCCGGUGUAGCGGUGAAAUGCGUAGAUAUCGGAAGGAACACCAGUGGCGAAGGCGGCUACCUGGACUGACACUAACACUGAGGCGCGAAAGCGUGGGGAGCAAACAGGAUUAGAUACCCCCGUAGUCCCUGUCUCUUAUAC